AGUCAGCAUGCCCAGGGGACGUGGAUAACCUCGGGAAACUGAGGAUAAACCGCGAUAGGUCACUACUUCUGGAAUGGGUAAUGACCCAAACCUAUAUGGCCCCUGGAUUGGACUGCGGCCGAUCAGGCUGUUGGUGAGGUAAUGGCCCACCAAACCUGUAACCGGUACGGGCUCUGAGAGGAGGAGCCCGGAGAUGGGCACUGAGACAAGGGCCCAGGCCCUAUGGGGCGCAGCAGGCGCGAAACCUCUGCAAUAGGCGAAAGCUUGACAGGGUUACUCUGAGUGAUUUCCGUUAAGGAGAUCUUUUGGCACCUCUAAAAAUGGUGCAGAAUAAGGGGUGGGCAAGUCUGGUGUCAGCCGCCGCGGUAAUACCAGCACCCCGAGUGGUCGGGACGUUUAUUGGGCCUAAAGCAUCCGUAGCCGGUUCUACAAGUCUUCCGUUAAAUCCACCUGCUCAACAGAUGGGCUGCGGAAGAUACUAUGGAGCUAGGAGGCGGGAGAGGCAAGCGGUACUCGAUGGGUAGGGGUAAAAUCCGUUGAUCCAUUGAAGACCACCAGUGGCGAAGGCGGCUUGCCAGAACGCGCUCGACGGUGAGGGAUGAAAGCUGGGGGAGCAAACCGGAUUAGAUACCCGGGUAGUCCCAGCUGUAAACGAUGCAGACUCGGUGAUGAGUUGGCUUUAUGCCAACUCAGUGCCGCAGGGAAGCCGUUAAGUUUGCCGCCUGGGGAGUACGGUCGCAAGACUGAAACUUAA
rnacentral:rRNA from 1 species